GAUUGAACGCUGGCGGCAGGCUUAACACAUGCAAGUCGAGCGGGAACGAUGAUAGCUUGCUAUCAGGCGUCGAGCGGCGGACGGGUGAGUAAUACUUAGGAAUCUACCUAGUAGUGGGGGAUAGCACGGGGAAACUCGUAUUAAUACCGCAUACGACCUACGGGAGAAAGGGGGCAGUUUACUGCUCUCGCUAUUAGAUGAGCCUAAGUCGGAUUAGCUAGAUGGUGGGGUAAAGGCCUACCAUGGCGACGAUCUGUAGCUGGUCUGAGAGGAUGAUCAGCCACACCGGGACUGAGACACGGCCCGGACUCCUACGGGAGGCAGCAGUGGGGAAUAUUGGACAAUGGGGGAAACCCUGAUCCAGCCAUGCCGCGUGUGUGAAGAAGGCCUUUUGGUUGUAAAGCACUUUAAGCAGUGAAGAAGACUCCGUGGUUAAUACCCACGGACGAUGACAUUAGCUGCAGAAUAAGCACCGGCUAACUCUGUGCCAACAGCCGCGGUAAUACAGAGGGUGCAAGCGUUAAUCGGAAUUACUGGGCGUAAAGGGAGCGUAGGUGGCUCUAUAAGUCAGAUGUGAAAUCCCCGGGCUUAACCUGGGGAACCGCAUCUGAAACUGUAGAGCUAGAGUAUGUGAGAGGAAGGUAGAAUUCCAGGUGUAGCGGUGAAAUGCGUAGAGAUCUGGAGGAAUACCGAUGGGCGAAGGCAGCCUUUCUGGCAUAAUACUGACACUGAGGCUCGAAAGCGUGGGUAGCAAACAGGAUUAGAUACCCUGGUAGUCCCACGCCGUAAACGAUGUCUACUAGUCGUUGGGUCCCUUGAGGACUUAGUGACGCAGCUAACGCAAUAAGUAGACCGCCUGGGGAGUACGGCCGCAAGGUUAAAACUCAAAUGAAUUGACGGGGGCCCGCACAAGCGGUGGAGCAUGUGGUUUAAUUCGAUGCAACGCGAAGAACCUUACCUGGUCUUGACAUAUCUAGAAUCCUGCAGAGAUGCGGGAGUGCCUUCGGGAAUUAGAAUACAGGUGCUGCAUGGCUGUCGUCAGCUCGUGUCGUGAGAUGUUGGGUUAAGUCCCGCAACGAGCGCAACCCUUGUUCUUAGUUACCAGCGGGUUAAGCCGGGAACUCUAAGGAUACUGCCAGUGACAAACUGGAGGAAGGCGGGGACGACGUCAAGUCAUCAUGGCCCUUACGACCAGGGCUACACACGUGCUACAAUGGUAGGUACAGAGGGCAGCUACACAGCGAUGUGAUGCGAAUCUCAAAAAGCCUAUCGUAGUCCAGAUUGGAGUCUGCAACUCGACUCCAUGAAGUAGGAAUCGCUAGUAAUCGCGGAUCAGAAUGCCGCGGUGAAUACGUUCCCGGGCCUUG
rnacentral:rRNA from 1 species